GGCGCAGUGGGCGAAAAGGUAGAGCCGCCGGUCUUUCAAACCGGACACUUGCGGGUUCGAACCCCGCCUGCGCUAC
rnacentral:tRNA from 1 species